rnacentral:lncRNA from 1 species
GGGCGCUUAUUGUUCUGGGGAGAUGCCUCUUCCAGGAGUGGCUUGGGAGGGUCAGAGCUCCUUCCAUUCAGACCAGUCACCCACUUCUCCAGAAAUCGCGUCCCCUUCUUUGCGCCUCUCGUGCCGACAUUCCCUGCAUCGCUCGUCCCUUUCCUGUAUUGCACUGCCCUGUAAACUGGUGAAUAACUGCGUGGGUUCAAAAGCCAUGCUGCCUCUUUUGAUUCCUGGCUCCCCCACAUGACCUGUGAUAACCUUGGACCAACUGUUUGAGGCCGUUUGAGCCUCAGUUUCCCCAUCUGCAAGAUGGGUGCAAGACUAGCACCUCUUCCCAAUCCCGUGAGGAUUCAGGGAGGUGAUGCCAGCAUGAUGGCGGGAACUUGGCGAACCUUUGCACAGAGGUCCGAUCUCUUGCCAUUGCUGUGUCCUGGGCUGACUGCGGGGACAGCAGAGUUCUUAAAAAAUAAUCGCUUUCACAAACGCCAAUAUUUCAGUUGUGCCUCUCCGGUAUAGACAUCUGCUUAUGAAGAGCUAGCAAUACUGGAGGUUCUAGGUAAGACCUGGCUCACGACAGAGGAGAGUGACAGACCAAGGAGGGACUGACACAGAGAGAAACCAGAGCCACAAUUGGGCAGCUCUGUAGGAGAAGCCAUCCCGGACUGGGGAUGCUGGAGCUGGAAGGAAUGGGGAAGAGAUUUCAUGGAGGAAAUUUACCUGCCUUGGCUGCUAGUGGGUGAUAAGCACCAAGGACUGCCGGGGUUCUGAGGAUGUGAAGGUGUAGGGAAGGAAUGACGGAGCCACGACCUCAUCCCGGGGGGAGUCCAUUCGGGGAGAUGCACGUCUCCCUGGAAAAGCUUAGGGCACAGGUGUCCCGAGGAGCUCCAAGUGGGUGGGCUGGGAGGGGAACCCUCUGCGGUCAAAGGUGUGGGAGCCUAGGUGCCUAGACUAGGCUGGGAGGACUGAAUGAAGAGAGCCUCUCAGAGGCAUUCAGAAAACUCUUGCUCUGCGAGCUCAGGUUUCUGUAAGAGUGCAACCCUAAGAACACCUUGCCAGGCACGAGUAACACCUGGGGAGUUAUUAAAACAUUGAUUCCUGGGCUCUGGCCCCGGGAGGUUCUGACUUAGAAGAGGCCCAUGAAUUUGCAUUUCUGACAGACUUCUGGGUGAUGCUGAGCAGCCAGUCCUGAGGACCACACCGUGAGUGGUGCUGCCCUGGACCACACCCAGGCCCUGUCAGCCCCCUGGAUGCUCCUGCUGCGCCCACACCUGCUGCCAGAGGGAUGCCGUGUGGGGCCCGGGCCUCACCUGGACCAGCCGCCGCAGCCUCUCCUGCUGGUCCCACUAGUUAUCUUUGCCAGUCACCAGUGGGGAUUUUUUUGCUGGUGAUGUUCAGACCUUUCACCUCUUCGGGACCCCUCACCCCAAGCCCGUCCAUUGUGGGUGAGACCUGCGGCCAGAGGUCGCGUGAACACACAUGUGGCCUCCUGACAGUUUAUGGCACGGGUGCUGUCUGGGUCUAGCUCCACGUGCCAAGCGCAGGAGAUGAGACAGACCGUGUGCCUUGCUCUCUGCUCUUUCCAAGCUGGUCUAAAAAGGCUCGCAAGCUAUUCCAUAAAGCAUUGCAUCAGGGAACCUUGAGUCAUGCUGCUCUUGGUCAUCCCUUUCAGGUAUUUGCUGUCCUGAUUAAAAUGUGCAGAGGCCUCAUGAGGGAGCUGUCUCCAGACUCUGAGUCAGGGAAUCCAGUUAAUCGAGUUUGUUAGCCUUGAUUGUAAAGUAGGAGUUAAAGGGCCCAGAAUAAGAGCCUGGCAAGAUUGCUUAUGACACAGUGCAUAGAUUUUAGUGCUUGUGUGUGGGGGAUACCCAUUUUGUUUUUAAUAGUGCUAAAAUGUAUGUAGUGUAAUAUUUAUCAUUUUAACCAUUUUAAGUAUAUAAAUCAGUGAUAUCAACUGCAUUUGCAAUUUUGUGUAACCACUAACCAUACCUAAAGCUGUUUUUCUCAUCCUCAAUAUACAUUCUGUACCCAUUAAACAAUAAGCGCUCUCCCCUCCACUCCUUGCAGCCCUGGGUACCUCUGUUCUACUUUCUGCUUCGUGAAUUAGACUCCUGUAUCUCAUGUCAGUGGAAUCAGGCAUAUCUGUCCUCCUGUGUUUUAUGUCACUAAACAGGUUUUCAGGUUCUACCCAUAUGGUAGCAUAUAUCAAAAUCGCUUUCCUUUUCAGGGCUGAAUAGCAUUCCCCUGUGUACAUAUGCCACAUUUUUUUAAUCCGUUCACCGUUGGUGGAUGCUUGGCUCACUUCCCCCUUUGGCUAUUAACUGAAUAAUGCUGCUCUUGACACUAGUGAAUGAAUACCUCUUAGAAUCUCUGACUUCCGUUCUUCUUUUUACAUAUCUGGGCGUCAGGUGCUGGGUCAUGUGGUGCUUGUAGCUCUAACCCUUUGAGAAACUGCCACACUGGAUUCCACAGCGGCUGCACCAUUUUACAUUCCCAGCAGCAGCAUAUUGUCCACAUCCUCCCUAACAUUUGCUGCUGCUGCUGCUGUUGUUGUUGUUGAUAAUAGCCUAUUAGUAGAUGUGAGGUCGCAGACGUGGCUCGGAUCCCGCGUUGCUGUGGCUGUGGUGUAGGCUGGUGGCUAUAACUCCGAUUUGACCCCUAGCCUGGGAACCUCCAUAUGCCAUGAGUGUGGCCCCCAAAAGGCCAAAAAAAAAAACCCCAAACAUUUUGUCUUGGAGGAUCCAACAGUCCUGAUUUAUGUCACUCACUGGAUGUGUCAGCUCUUAGCACAAACCCUGUGGAUUCCUCCUAAAAUGAAAAUAGGCAGCUACACCCAAGUAAGGUGGCCCCCCCCAACCCCCACCCUUCAAACCACCCCCUGGCUCUCGUAUGUUACGUUUAGUGGCUUUGCAGUGCAUGUCUCUCAGCCAGAGACGCUAGUGGCAAAUGGUUCUCUCUCCAGCGCUGAGUUUAUUGGACAGGCGGUGCAUGCAGAAUUCUGUUUUAUAUGGCGAUUUGGCAUUUGUGCAGAAAAGUACUGCAAGAUUCUGAAGCGUGUUCUUGGGGGUAAAAUCAUAAGGCAUCUGCUGGAAACGGCCGUGACAGAGACGUUUCAACAGAAUCGAACAAAUAAAAGUCAGAACUCAAAAUUGAAUACUGCUGCAUUUUUGUCUAAAUCACCGUGAGCAGAUUGAGAUGUGUGCGUGUGUGUCUUGAGGGACAAAGGCACACGUCCUUCUUUGUGUGUUAAUUGUAGGGGACCGACAGAUGGGAGUGACCGCAUCACCACGUGAUGGCAACUCCUCUUUCUUCCAAGAGAUUUCUCUCCCCUUGGUUUCCCAGCCAGGUCUGACCCUGGACGGGGGCGGCUGGUGGCAGAUAGUCUAACAGCGUGUGCCCUGCCGGAACAGUCUGCUGGCACCACUUUUUAAUAAGGGCUGGGCUCUUGCCUAAGAGCCCAGCAACUUCGGUGCCUCCUCUGCUGCGCCUUCCCCGAACACACCUCGCCCUCGCUAAUAAAUUCCGAGGGCUGACAUUGCCGGAGCCGGCUGGUCUUUGCCCUCAAUUUCAUUGAGAUGGGCCAUUGAAAACUCAUUACAAGCUGUUUAGACUCUGACUUUGACUUUUGCUCGGCAGCGAGCGAAAUUAACAGCUCUUGGAGGUAGCAAAAAAGGCACUCAGCC